ACCUGCUCAGCACUGGCCCCUUGAGCAGCUCCCACUCAGGUUGCAUUCGGCUCCUGUCAAACCCAAGGGGAAGGCAUCGCUCGUCCGGACACGAGGGACCCAGAUCUGGAGAAGCCCAGCAGCUGCCCGGGGCCACAGCUCUGCCUGCUGGGGACGACGGGACCCCGACCUCACCUGCCCCUGCGCCCGUGGUCACGCACGCACAGGAGCUCCGCCGCGUCAUCCGCUGCCACCACGAUGUGGCGACAUCACUGCCCAGAAGCAGAAGUGUCCCGCCAGGAUUGGGUGGGGUGACAGGAGCAGGGGGGAUGGGGUGUGAGACAAGGCAGCCUCUGUGGCCAGAGAGGGACAUUAGGGGGCAGACUGUGAAGACCCCGAGUCCCAUGGGGAGGCAGGGUUUGGUACGUAGCAGAGACCCCUGGAAGGUUUUGGGUGGCACUAAAAUACGAACAGGGCAGUCUGGUUAGAUUUUUAAGUGAGGAAGCAGAACGUGGACCCCAGGGAUCAGCCCGUCCAACCCCCUCGGGCCGCAGCCUGAGAAGUCCAGAGGGGACAUGUGUCUCUCAAGGUCACAGCCGGGAGACGGCUGUGGGGCCCGAGCUGCUGUCCUUCCUGGGACAGGCGCGGACUUCCAGACCCUCUCGGGCAUGGUGACAACCAGUGCAUGUGGCCAGGUAGAUUUGCGUUAAUUGAGAUGGAAUGCACUGGACUGGGAUCCGGAAUCGCCCUCCACACCUCUCAGGUGCCCGACCCGUAUGUGGUAGCCCGUGGCUGGCACCCUGGAUGUGGCAGAUCUAGAACAUUCCUAUCAUGGCAGAAAGCUCUGCUGCACAGGCUGUCCUCCACCGCUCUGCCUUCCAGGAUUUCAGGCAGUCAUCUGCCCCCAGGGCCCACGCGUGAACCGCCCCCGCCCCAGCUCCUGGCACCGGGUCCGGCAUCGGGCCUGUGUCCGUGAAGGGCCUGGCCGGCCCGCCGGAGGCCUCUUAAGGCCUUCUCAGUCCCCCUCCCUCCUGCUCCCUGCAGCCGCUCGAGUCCUUGGCAACAGCUCUGUUCCCCAGUUUCGGCCAAAAACUGCUGAGCCAAGCGGCUGGAGGGAGACGUGGGUCUGGGCUGACGGUGGCACCACCGUGGCCUGGAAUGUUCCGCCCCGUGGCCUGGGCCCGGCACAGGAAGCAGGCCAAGCAGGUGGCAUUUUCACUCAGUGAUUUCAUUCGUGGCUGCCUGUGUUCAUGACCGUGACAUAUUAAUCAUGCAAAUUAGGACAUUAUUAAUGAAGGAAAAGCUAAUUCUGCCGCCGCUUCUGGGUUCGCUGUGACAGCUUUCUUCACGCCCGGUCACCGCGAAUACCGGCAGCGACUUCUCCUCGGCUGCAGCAAAUCGACGCGUUCCAUUCAGGGUAAAGGUUGGGGACCCAAGUGCAGGGGCGACUGUCCUCAUCAGGGCUGGUGUUGAAAGCAUAGACAGAGUGUGAGCAGGGGAGGGCCAGAGAGAGGGAG